rnacentral:rRNA from 1 species
CCUACGGGAGGCAGCAGUGAGGAAUAUUGGUCAAUGGACGAGAGUCUGAACCAGCCAAGUAGCGUGAAGGAUGACUGCCCUAUGGGUUGUAAACUUCUUUUAUAUGGGACUAAAAUGUUCCACGUGUGGGAUUUUGUAUGUACCAUAUGAAUAAGGAUCGGCUAACUCCGUGCCAGCAGCCGCGGUAAUACGGAGGAUCCGAGCGUUAUCCGGAUUUAUUGGGUUUAAAGGGAGCGUAGGUGGAUUGUUAAGUCAGUUGUGAAAGUUUGCGGCUCAACCGUAAAAUUGCAGUUGAAACUGGCAGUCUUGAGUACAGUAGAGGUGGGCGGAAUGCGUGGUGUAGCGGUGAAAUGCUUAGAUAGCACGAAGAACUCCGAGUGCGAAGGCAGUUCACUGGACUGCAACUGACACUGAGGCUCGAAAGUGUGGGUAUCAAACAGGAGUAGAUACCCUUGUAGUC